rnacentral:sRNA from 1 species
AUAAUACAUUUUGCAAACUUUUAUGUAUACUAACUUUAAAAAAUAAAUUGUUCCGCGGUAUACCGCGGGUUAAAAUCUAGUUAACAUCUUAUAUUUUGACAAUGAAGGAGUAUCCCCGACCGUAUCAUGUAUGAUAUCU